CGCGUAGGCGGCUUGGUCAGUCGGAUGUGAAAGCCCCGGGCUUAACCUGGGAAUUGCAUUCGAUACUGCUAGGCUAGAGUGUAGUAGAGGGAAGCGGAAUUCCAGGUGUAGCGGUGAAAUGCGUAGAUAUCUGGAGGAACAUCAGUGGCGAAGGCGGCUUCCUGGACUAACACUGACGCCGAGGUGCGAAAGCGGUGGGGAGCAAACA
rnacentral:rRNA from 1 species